GCGGAUGCCCUGGCAGGGUCGCACCGCUCAAACAAAGCGGCCCCGCCCCACUACCCC
rfam:Human gut metagenome DNA, contig sequence: F1-S_002956.